rnacentral:lncRNA from 1 species
CUAAACCGAUCGAUGUUUGAUUAACUAUUAAUUUAUGCAUGAUACUUUGAAAGGCUAUGCAAGGCUACUUGUCCCGAUAAUUCUUUUCCAAAAUUCCUAAAGAAAGUUAUUGGAACAAGAAAGAGUUAUUUAUAUAGAUAACUUCGACAACCACAAAGAAGGAGGUUAUAAAGGCAAGAAAUCAUUAAGAGAGAAUAUAUGUUGUUGCAAAAAGUAGCUGCUUUUUUAACUUAUCCAAAAAAGAAAGAA